UACGUAGGGGGCAAGCGUUGUCCGGAAUCAUUGGGCGUAAAGCGCGUGUAGGCGGUUCAGUAAGUCUGCUGUGAAAGUCCAGGGCUCAACCCUGGGAUGCCGGUGGAUACUGCUGGGCUAGAGUACGGAAGAGGCGAGUGGAAUUCCCGGUGUAGCGGUGAAAUGCGCAGAUAUCGGGAGGAACACCAAUGGCGAAGGCAGCUCGCUGGGACGGUACUGACGCUGAGACGCGAAAGCGUGGGGAGCAAACAGGG
rnacentral:rRNA from 1 species